rnacentral:misc_RNA from 1 species
CGUGCUUCGACGAGCAGGGACAGGAGACGCUGCUGUCGGGAUGUGCGCAAGGACUUCUGCAUUCGGAACGGCGCUCCAUUGAUGAAGGGAGGCCAUUUCGGUAAUCCUGAUAUGGGAUUAUCCCAGUUCAGGAUUUUUGGUGCUGUUGGCCCUGAAGGGAGGGCGUUCGAUGCGCGUCAGACCCAAGCUUGAUCCCGAUGUCGAUGACGAGGCCCCGAGCGGCCCCGAGAUCACGACUUAUGACGAAGAGCAUUAUG